UGGGGAAUAUUGGACAAUGGGCGCAAGCCUGAUCCAGCCAUGCCGCGUGGGUGAAGAAGGCCUUCGGGUUGUAAAGCCCUUUUGUUGGGAAAGAAAACUUUCCGGUUAAUACCCGGAGAGAAUGACGGUACCCAAAGAAUAAGCACCGGCUAACUUCGUGCCAGCAGCCGCGGUAAUACGAAGGGUGCAAGCGUUACUCGGAAUUACUGGGCGUAAAGCGUGCGUAGGUGGUUCGUUAAGUCUGAUGUGAAAGCCCUGGGCUCAACCUGGGAAUUGCAUUGGAUACUGGCGGGCUAGAGUACGGUAGAGGGUAGUGGAAUUCCUGGUGUAGCAGUGAAAUGCGUAGAGAUCAGGAGGAACAUCCGUGGCGAAGGCGACUACCUGGACCAGUACUGACACUGAGGCACGAAAGCGUGGGGAGCAAACAGGAUUAGAUACCC
rnacentral:rRNA from 1 species